AUGAACGCUGCUGGAGGCCUAAACAUGCAAGUCGAACGGUAACAUUUCUAGCUUGCUAGAAGAUGACGAGUGGCGGACGGGUGAGUAAUGCUUGGGAACUUGCCUUUGCGAGGGGGAUAACAGUUGGAAACGACUGCUAAUACCGCAUAAUGUCUUCGGACCAAACGGGGCUUAGGCUCCGGCGCAAAGAGAGGCCCAAGUGAGAUUAGCUAGUUGGUAAGGUAACGGCUUACCAAGGCGACGAUCUCUAGCUGUUCUGAGAGGAAGAUCAGCCACACUGGGACUGAGACACGGCCCAGACUCCUACGGGAGGCAGCAGUGGGGAAUAUUGCACAAUGGGGGAAACCCUGAUGCAGCCAUGCCGCGUGUGUGAAGAAGGCCUUCGGGUUGUAAAGCACUUUCAGUUGUGAGGAAAAGUUAGUAGUUAAUACCUGCUAGCCGUGACGUUAAUAACAGAAGAAGCACCGGCUAACUCCGUGCCAGCAGCCGCGGUAAUACGGAGGGUGCGAGCGUCAAUCGGAAUUACUGGGCGUAAAGCGCACGCAGGCGGUUUGUUAAGCUAGAUGUGAAAGCCCCGGGCUCAACCUGGGAUGGUCAUUU
rnacentral:rRNA from 1 species